UAAGAGCUUUUCCUAUCUCAAGUCUCUGGAGAACAAAGAACAGCCCUUCAAAUUUUCCCUGUGGUUACUGAUCAGCUGAAGAGCAGUUUGGAGCAGAUCUGGUUAUCCCUGUUGUCUGCCAACCAGGAAAAAAGAAACUCAGAGCAAGAUCUUGACAAAACUGAGACACAACUAUGAUUUUAUGCUGAAAGGGAUUAAACAUGGUGUGCUAUGCCUAUUUCAGAACUAACUUCAUGAGAGGUUCAACAAAAAAGUUCGCCUCAAAGAGAAGAAUAUGGACCACAGAAAAUUACUGGGACCACCUAGCAAGUCAUAGAGCAGUUAUUACUACAGUGACCAAAAGGGGUGUCCAUGGUGAAAAAGUCACAAAUCCUUGAAAUAUUAACGUUGUCACCUGCCAAUGGGAAACAAAAAUCAAUGCACUCCAAAAAAGGCACAAUGCAUUUGCAGCACGAACUUCAGUCACCCACAUUUGUGGGAAGAACAAAUGUUUACCAACUCAUCUCUCCAGUAUUGUUCUGUUAUUGAGCUUUCUCAUGUACAAUGCUAUUAACACUGCCUGGAAUAUGAGUGAGUGAAAUCCAAUAAAAUGCCAUCUGAGAGCUCUUGGACCUAGAAA
rnacentral:lncRNA from 1 species